UACGAAGGGGGCUAGCGUUGCUCGGAAUUACUGGGCGUAAAGGGCGCGUAGGCGGAUAGUUUAGUCAGAGGUGAAAGCCCAGGGCUCAACCCUGGAAUUGCCUUUGAUACUGGCUAUCUUGAGUUCGGGAGAGGUGAGUGGAACUCCGAGUGUAGAGGUGAAAUUCGUAGAUAUUCGGAAGAACACCAGUGGCGAAGGCGGCUCUCUGGACCGUAACUGACGCUGAGGCGCGAAAGCGUGGGGAGCAAACAGG
rnacentral:rRNA from 1 species